CCUACGGGCGGCAGCAGUGGGGAAUCUUCCGCAAUGGGCGAAAGCCUGACGGAGCAACGCCGCGUGAUCGAAUGAAGGCCUUCGGGUUGUAAAGAUCUGUUGACAGGGACGAAUAAGCCAUGCGAAUAGUUUGGUGUAUGACGGUACCUGUUUAGAAAGCUCCGGCUAACUACGUGCCAGCAGCCGCGGUAAUACGUAGGGAGCAAGCGUUGUCCGGAAUUACUGGGCGUAAAGGGCGCGUAGGUGGGUGCUUAAGUCAGGUGUGAAAACUCUGGGCUCAACCUGGAGACUGCACUUGAAACUGGGUAUCUUGAGGGCAGGAGAGGAGAGUGGAAUUCCUAGUGUAGCGGUGAAAUGCGUAGAUAUUAGGAGGAACACCAGUGGCGAAGGCGGGUUGCUAGACUGUAACUGACACUGAGGCACGAAAGCGUGGGGAGCAAACAGGAUUAGAUACCCGAGUAGUC
rnacentral:rRNA from 1 species